GAGGAAAAGAAACCAACAGGGAUUACCUCAGUAACGGCGAGUGAAGCGGUAUAAGCUCAAAUUUGAAAUCUGGCUCUUUCAGGGUCCGAGUUGUAAUUUGUAGAAGAUGUUUCGGGUGUGGUUCCGGUCUAAGUUCCUUGGAACAGGACGUCAUAGAGGGUGAGAAUCCCGUAUGUGACUGGAUACCUUCGCCCAUGUGAAACUCUUUCGACGAGUCGAGUUGUUUGGGAAUGCAGCUCAAAAUGGGUGGUAUAUUUCAUCUAAAGCUAAAUAUUGGCCAGAGACCGAUAGCGCACAAGUAGAGUGAUCGAAAGAUGAAAAGCACUUUGGAAAGAGAGUUAAACAGUACGUGAAAUUGUUGAAAGGGAAGCGCUUGCAAUCAGACUUGCGCCUAGUUGAUCAUCCGGGCUUCUGUCCGGUGCACUCGAUUAGGCUCAGGCCAGCAUCGGUUUGGGUGGUUGGAUAAAGGCCUGAGAAACGUAGCUUCCUUCGGGUAGUGUUAUAGUCUCAGGUGCAAUGCAGCCUACCUGGACCGAGGACCGCGCUUCGGCUAGGAUGCUGGCGUAAUGGUUGUAA
rnacentral:rRNA from 1 species